UACGUAGGGGGCAAGCGUUGUCCGGAUUUAUUGGGCGUAAAGAGCGUGUAGGCGGCCGCACAGGUCCGUCGUGAAAACUGGAGGCUUAACCUUCAGACGUCGAUGGAAACCGUGCGGCUAGAGUCCGGAAGAGGAGAAUGGAAUUCCUGGUGUAGCGGUGAAAUGCGCAGAUAUCAGGAAGAACACCCGUGGCUAAGGCGGUUCUCUAGUACGGUACUGACGCUGAGACGCGAAAGCGUGGGGAGCGAACAGG
rnacentral:rRNA from 1 species